rnacentral:rRNA from 1 species
ACUGCGAAUGGCUCAUUAAAUCAGUUAUCGUUUAUUUGAUAGUACCUUACUACAUGGAUAACCGUGGUAAUUCUAGAGCUAAUACAUGCUAAAAACCUCGACUUCGGAAGGGGUGUAUUUAUUAGAUAAAAAACCAAUGCCCUCCGGGGCUCCUUGGUGAUUCAUAAUAACUUCUCAGAUCGCAUGGCCUUGCGCCGGCGACGGUUCAUUCAAAUUUCUGCCCUAUCAACUUUCGAUGGUAAGGUAUUGGCUUACCAUGGUUUCAACGGGUAACGGGGAAUUAGGGUUCGAUUCCGGAGAGGGAGCCUGAGAAACGGCUACCACAUCCAAGGAAGGCAGCAGGCGCGCAAAUUACCCAAUCCCGAUACGGGGAGGUAGUGACAAUAAAUACUGAUACAGGGCUCUUUAGGGUCUUGUAAUUGGAAUGAGUACAAUUUAAACCUCUUAACGAGGAACAAUUGGAGGGCAAGUCUGGUGCCAGCAGCCGCGGUAAUUCCAGCUCCAAUAGCGUAUAUUAAAGUUGUUGCAGUUAAAAAGCUCGUAGUUGAACCUUUGGCCUGGCUGGCGGGUCCGCCUCACCGCGUGCACU